rnacentral:tRNA from 1 species
CAGGGUGUAGCGCAGUCUGGUAGCGCGCUUGCUUUGGGAGCAAGAUGUCGUAGGUUCGAAUCCUAUCACCCUGA